UAAGCAAUUGUGGAAGCAGUG
rnacentral:piRNA from 1 species